rnacentral:rRNA from 1 species
GCUAUACAUGCAGUCGAACGAACUUCCGUUAAUUGAUCAGGACGUGCUUGCACUGAAUGAGAUUUUAACACGAAGUGAGUGGCGGACGGGUGAGUAACACGUGGGUAACCUGCCCAGAAGCAGGGGAUAACACCUGGAAACAGAUGCUAAUACCGUAUAACAGAGAAAACCGCCUGGUUUUCUUUUAAAAGAUGGCUCUGCUAUCACUUCUGGAUGGACCCGCGGCGCAUUAGCUAGUUGGUGAGGUAACGGCUCACCAAGGCGAUGAUGCGUAGCCGACCUGAGAGGGUAAUCGGCCACAUUGGGACUGAGACACGGCCCAGACUCCUACGGGAGGCAGCAGUAGGGAAUCUUCCACAAUGGACGCAAGUCUGAUGGAGCAACGCCGCGUGAGUGAAGAAGGGUUUCGGCUCGUAAAGCUCUGUUGUUAAAGAAGAACGUGGGUGAGAGUAACUGUUCACCCAGUGACGGUAUUUAACCAGAAAGCCACGGCUAACUACGUGCCAGCAGCCGCGGUAAUACGUAGGUGGCAAGCGUUAUCCGGAUUUAUUGGGCGUAAAGCGAGCGCAGGCGGUCUUUUAAGUCUAAUGUGAAAGCCUUCGGCUCAACCGAAGAAGUGCAUUGGAAACUGGGAGACUUGAGUGCAGAAGAGGACAGUGGAACUCCAUGUGUAGCGGUGAAAUGCGUAGAUAUAUGGAAGAACACCAGUGGCGAAGGCGGCUGUCUGGUCUGUAACUGACGCUGAGGCUCGAAAGCAUGGGUAGCGAACAGGAUUAGAUACCCUGGUAGUCCAUGCCGUAAACGAUGAUUACUAAGUGUUGGAGGGUUUCCGCCCUUCAGUGCUGCAGCUAACGCAUUAAGUAAUCCGCCUGGGGAGUACGACCGCAAGGUUGAAACUCAAAAGAAUUGACGGGGGCCCGCACAAGCGGUGGAGCAUGUGGGUUUAAUUUCGAAGCUACGCGAAGAACCUUACCNGNCUUGACAUCUUCUGCCAACCUAAGAGAUUAGGCGUUCCUUCGGGGACAGAAUGACAGGUGGUGCAUGNNNUGUCGUCAGCUCGUGUCGNGAGAUGNUGGNNNAGUCCCGCAACGAGCGCACNNNNNACUAGNNGCCAGCAUCAGNUNGNACUCUANNUGAGAACUGCC